GCAUUGUUUGUCUAACUUUCCGUAAUUUUUUCGGACAAUUCUCUAAAUUUUAGCCACAAUUAUUAGUUUUUAAUCAGUGUCACUCGAAUAUUUGAAUUUCUUUCCUUCCUAUCCAACUGGGAUUAGAUAAUUUGCUGACUACCUGACGACGGGGAGGGGGGGGGGGUUCAACCCCCACACUCACAUCCCCCCUUUAGCGCAGCCCCUGCCUGUUCUGACUUUUAUAAGGGCGAGCAGAUGCUUUUUCAACGAGGUUGACUUUUUACUAAUGAUCAAAAGGGUUCAGUUCAUCUGAAAAUCAUGCUUCACUACUGGGGCAAGCAAAGGGCCUACUGGGGUCGAAUGCCCCAGUAGUUAUAUAGUUAAAAAAUGCCCCGUUUCCAUCCAGCAAACUGACCUGACGUCAUUAACGGAAGAUGGAAGAGGCAGGGCCGCCCAGAGGGG